UUCGCAAUGCCCGAAAGGGUGACGAAGCGACGCCGCGUGGGUGAGGAAGGCCCUCGGGUCGUAAAGCCCUGUCAGGAGUUAAGAAAUGUAAGUGCGCUAAUAUCGCAUUUAUUUGACGAAGGCUCCAAAGGAAGCCACGGCUAACUCUGUGCCAGCAGCCGCGGUAAUACAGAGGUGGCAAGCGUUGUUCGGAAUUAUUGGGCGUAAAGAGCACGUAGGUGGGUUUGUAAGUCAGAUGUGAAAGCCUUCUGUUCAACGGAAGAAUUGCAUCUGAAACUACAAGUCUUGAGUGUAGGAGGGGAGAAUGGAACUUCUGGUGGAGCGGUGAAAUGCGUAGAUAUCAGAAGGAACGCCGGCGGCGAAAGCGAUUCUCUGGCCUAUUACUGACACUCAGUGUGCGAAAGCUAGGGGAGCAAACGGGAUUAGAUACCCCGGUAGUCCUAGCCGUAAACGAUGGGCACUAAGUAGAGGGGUUUU
rnacentral:rRNA from 1 species